GACGAACGCUGGCGGCGGGCUUAACACAUGCAAGUCGAACGGAAAGGCCCUGCUUGUGUGGGGUGCUGGAGUGGCGAAGGGGGGAGUAACACGUGAGUAACCUGCCCUUGACUUUGGGAUAACUUCAGGAAACUGGGGCUAAUACCGGAUAGGAGCUCCUGCUGCAUGGUGGGGGUUGGAAAGUUUCGGCGGGUGGGGCUGGACUCGCGGCUUAUCAGCUAGUUGGUGGGGUAGUGGCUUCCCAAGGCUUUGACGGGUAGCCGGCCUGAGAGGGUGACCGGCGACCUUGGGACUGAGAUAGGGACCAGAGUCCUACGGGAGGCAGUAGGGGGGAAUCUUGCCCAAUGGGCGCACGCCUGAUGAAGCAACGCUGGGUGCGGGAUGCCGGCCUUUGGGUUGUAAAACGCAUUAGCCUGUGACGCAGCGUGGGUGACGGUAAUGGGUAAAGAAGCACCGGCUAACUACGUG
rnacentral:rRNA from 1 species